GAUGAACGCUGGCGGCGUGCCUAAUACAUGCAAGUCGAGCGAACAGAUCCGGCGCUUGCUCCUUUCUCGUUAGCGGAGGACGGGUGAGUCACACGUGGGUACCCUACCUAUCAUACUGGGAUAACUUCGGAACAGCGGCGCUAAUACCAGAUAACCUUUGGCACCGCGUGGUUCUUAGGAGAGUGAUGGUUGUGCUAUCACUUCUAGCUGCACACGCGCCGUAUUAGCUAGUUGGUAAGGUCACGGCUUACGACGGCGACGAUAGGUAGCCGACCUGAGAGAGGGAUCGGCCACACUGGAGCGGAGACACGGUCCAGGCUCCUACGAGAGGCAGCAGUAUGGAACCUGACGCAAUGGGCGAAAGCCUUACGGAGCAACGCGGAGUGAGUGAUGAAGGGGUUCGGUUCGUAAAACUCGGUUAUUAGGGAAGAACAAACGUGUAAGGAACUGUGCAGGGAUUGACGGUGCCUAAUCAGAAAGCCACGGCUAACUACGUG
rnacentral:rRNA from 1 species